rnacentral:rRNA from 1 species
CGUGCCUUUUGUAGAAUGAACCGGCGAGUUACGAUUUGUUGCAAGGUUAAGCGGAAAAAGCGGAGCCGUAGCGAAAGCGAGUCUGAAUAGGGCGCAUAAGUAACAGGUCGUAGACCCGAAACCAGGUGAUCUACCCAUGUCCAGGAUGAAGGUAAGGUAAUACUUACUGGAGGUCCGAACCCACGCACGUUGAAAAGUGCGGGGAUGAGGUGUGGGUAGCGGAGAAAUUCCAAUCGAACUUGGAGAUAGCUGGUUCUCUCCGAAAUAGCUUUAGGGCUAGCCUCGAGGUAAAGAGUCAUGGAGGUAGAGCACUGUUUGGACUAGGGGCCCUUCUCGGGUUACCGAAUUCAGAUAAACUCCGAAUGCCAUGUACUUAUACUCGGGAGUCAGACUGCGAGUGAUAAGAUCCGUAGUCGAAAGGGAAACAGCCCAGACCACCAGUUAAGGUCCCCAAAUAUAUGUUAAGUGGAAAAGGAUGUGGGGUUGCUUAGACAACCAGGAUGUUGGCUUAGAAGCAGCCACCAUUGAAAGAGUGCGUAAUAGCUCACUGGUCGAGUGACCCCGCGCCGAAAAUGUACCGGGGCUAAACAUAUUACCGAAACUGUGGAUGAACCUCUUUAGAGGUUCGUGGUAGGAGAGCGUUCUAAGGGCGGUGAAGUCAGACCGGAAGGACUGGUGGAGCGCUUAGAAGUGAGAAUGCCGGUAUGAGUAGCGAAAGAAGGGUGAGAAUCCCUUCCACCGAAUAUCUAAGGUUUCCUGAGGAAGGCUCGUCCGCUCAGGGUUAGUCGGGACCUAAGCCGAGGCCGAUAGGCGUAGGCGAUGGACAACAGGUAGAGAUUCCUGUACCAGUGCUAAUUGUUUAACCGAUGGGGUGACACAGAAGGAUAGGGAAUCGCACGAAUGGAAAUGUGCGUCCAAGCAGUGAGUGUGAGAAGUAGGCAAAUCCGCUUCUCGCGAAGCAUGAGCUGUGAUGGGGAAGGAAAUUAAGUACGGAAGUUCCUGAUUUCACGCUGUCAAGAAAAGCCUCUAGGAAGAGUAGUACUGCCCGUACCGCAAACCGACACAGGUAGAUGAGGAGAGAAUCCUAAGGUGAGCGAGAGAACUCUCGUUAAGGAACUCGGCAAAAUGACCCCGUAACUUCGGGAGAAGGGGUGCUCUAUUAGGGUGCAAGCCCGAGAGAGCCGCAGUGAAUAGGCCCAGGCGACUGUUUAGCAAAAACACAGGUCUCUGCAAAACCGUAAGGUGACGUAUAGGGGCUGACGCCUGCCCGGUGCUGGAAGGUUAAGAGGAGUGCUUAGCUUCGGCGAAGGUACGAAUUGAAGCCCCAGUAAACGGCGGCCGUAACUAUAACGGUCCUAAGGUAGCGAAAUUCCUUGUCGGGUAAGUUCCGACCCGCACGAAAGGCGCAACGAUCUGGGCACUGUCUCAACGAGAGACUCGGUGAAAUUAUAGUACCUGUGAAGAUGCAGGUUACCCGCGACAGGACGGAAAGACCCCGUGGAGCUUUACUGCAACCUGAUAUGGAAUGUUUGUACCGCUUGUACAGGAUAGGUAGGAGCCGAAGAGACGUGUGCGCUAGCAUACGAGGAGGCAAUGGUGGGAUACUACCCUGGCUGUAUGACCAUUCUAACCCGCCACGCUUAGCGCGUGGGGAGACAGUGUCAGGUGGGCAGUUUGACUGGGGCGGUCGCCUCCUAAAGAGUAACGGAGGCGCCCAAAGGUUCCCUCAGAAUGGAUGGAAAUCAUUCGCAGAGUGUAAAGGCACAAGGGAGCUUGACUGCGAGACUGACAAGUCGAGCAGGGACGAAAGUCGGGCUUAGUGAUCCGGUGGUUCCGCAUGGAAGGGCCAUCGCUCAACGGAUAAAAGCUACCCCGGGGAUAACAGGCUUAUCUCCCCCAAGAGUCCACAUCGACGGGGAGGUUUGGCACCUCGAUGUCGGCUCGUCGCAUCCUGGGGCUGUAGUCGGUCCCAAGGGUUGGGCUGUUCGCCCAUUAAAGCGGCACGCGAGCUGGGUUCAGAACGUCGUGAGACAGUUCGGUCCCUAUCCGUCGCGGGCGCAGGAAAUUUGAGAGGAGCUGUCCUUAGUACGAGAGGACCGGGAUGGACACACCGCUGGUGUACCAGUUGUUCCGCCAGGAGCAUCGCUGGGUAGCUAUGUGUGGCAGGGAUAAACGCUGAAAGCAUCUAAGCGUGAAGCCCCCCUCAAGAUGAGAUUUCCCAUUUCUUCGGAAAGUAAGAUCCCUGAAAGAUGAUCAGGUAGAUAGGUUUGGAGUGGAAGUGUAGCGAUACAUGGAGCGGACAAAUACUAAUCGAUCGAGGACUUAACCAAAA